ensembl:lncRNA
AACCGGUCGAGUUUGUUGUUGUUGUCUGUAGCGGUGUCAUUAAAAUAUUGCAUCAAGUGCGUCGUGGACGUCGGAAGUCAGAAGUUAUUUAUUGGCGAUAGCGUCCGCAACACAAAUAUAACUUUGUCUUUGUGUGGCAGUUGUGGGCUGACGUCACAUUGGCUCCUUGAAGUGGAGCUGAAUAAACCUUGAGAGGAGUCUGCUUCAAUCUGCUGUUAGUAACUAACACACACACACAUACACACACACACACACACACACACACACACACACACACACACACUCACACGGAGACUCAAUUACUGGCCAAUACCCUUCUUUAUCAUCCCUUACCGUCCUCUUUCAUUACGAAUCCGAGCAGCAAAAGAGGCGAGAAGGUCACUCCAAGUGUUACUUGAACUAAAAAAUCGGACUUGGGAAUAAGUAAAGUGUCGAAACUAAAAGGUUUUGCAGCAGUAAUGUCCAGGACUUGAAGACAUCUCUAACAGCUGGCCUUACCAGCUGUGUGCGUGUGCGUGUUCGUGUGCGGGUGCAUGUGUAUGUGGCGGAGCGUGUGUGCGUGCGAUUGUGUGCGUACGUGUGUCUAUGUCUUCAGGCCGGUCCCCGGAGUCUCUCAGGGCGCUGCGGCUCUACAUCUCACAGCUCUACGUUUCAGUGUAGGAAUGAAGUGUCUGUUAACCGAGCGCCUGCCCUCAAGCUACGAGGUGAGAUGAAGGUGAACAGUGUGCAGGGAGACUGGGAGCAGCCGCAGCUCUCUGGCAGAUGGACUCUUUGUCAGGAAAGAAAAAUGGCAUCUAAAGAGCGUCAGAGCCAUCCCCCACUCCAGAACACACGGUCACACACACACACACACACACACACACACACACACACACACACACACACACACACACACACACACACACACACACACACACACACACACACACAUCACACACACACACACACACACACACACACACACACACACACACACACACACACACACACACACACACACACACACACACACACACACACACACACACACACACACACGCAGUGCUCUCUAUCCGCUCACACAUACGCUGCUCC